rnacentral:tRNA from 1 species
GCCUGGCAGGCUCAGUAUUUAGAGCAUGCGACUUUUGAUCUCAGAAUUGUGAGUUCAAGCCCCAUGUUGGGCA